rnacentral:sRNA from 1 species
CAGUGGCCCGUUGCCGACAAGCCCUGGUGCCGCGUGCCUUCCAUGCUUCAGCUGUGGGGCUAAGGUCUUCAGAUGAGCAGAAGCAGCAGCCUCCCAACUCAUUUUCUCAGCAGCAUUCUGAGACACAGGGGGCAGAAAAACCUGAUCCAGAGUCUUCUCAUUCACCCCCCAGGUAUACAGACCAGGGCGGCAAGGAGGAGGAGGACUAUGAAAGUGAGGAGCAGCUGCAGGACCGCAUCCUGACGGCAGCCCUGGAGUUUGUGCCCGCCCACGGGUGGACAGCAGAGGCGAUUGCAGAAGGAGCCCAGGUGUGUAUAGUCUCUGGGUCUCUCCAGUGCAUCAGCCAGCAUGUUCGGGAAGGAUGGCAGUGAGCUAAUACUGCAUUUUGUGACCCAGUGCAAUACCCGGCUCACACGUGUGCUGGAAGAGGAGCAGAAGCUGGUACAGUUGGGCCAGGCGGAGUAAGUCCCAUGGCGUUACUACUCAGGGUGGCAGCUAAGGAUCAGGGAACUUGGGCCCUACCAGCUAUGCCCAGGAGGCCAAUCCAAGCAGAACCCAAAGA